rnacentral:rRNA from 1 species
AGAGUUUGAUCCUGGCUCAGGACGAACGCUGACGGUGUGCUUUAGGCAUGCAAGUCGAACGAGAAAGCCCUUCGGGGUGAGUAAAGUGGCGAACGGGUGAGUAACACGUGGGUAACGUGCCCUCGACUCUGGGAUAACAACGGGAAACCGUUGCUAAUACCGGAUAACGCAUCUCUGUCGCAUGAUAGAGCUGCCAAAGUUUUUCGGUCGAGGAUCGGCCCGCGGUGUAUCAGCUUGUUGGUGGGGUAACGGCCUACCAAGGCUUUGACGCAUAGCUGGCGUGAGAGCGCGACCAGCCACACUGGGACUGAGACACGGCCCAGACUCCUACGGGAGGCAGCAGUAGGGAAUCUUGCGCAAUGGGCGAAAGCCUGACGCAGCGACGCCGCGUGAGGGAUGAAGGCCUUCGGGUUGUAAACCUCUUUCAGCGGGGACGAAAUUGACGGUACCCGCAGAAGAAGGUCCGGCCAACUACGUGCCAGCAGCCGCGGUAAUACGUAGGGACCGAGCGUUGUCCGGAUUUAUUGGGCGUAAAGAGCGCGUAGGCGGCUAUCCACGUCGGGUGUGAAAGCUCGGGGCUCAACCCUGAGAGGCCAUUCGAUACGGGAUAGCUAGAGGCAGCUAGGGGAGAGUGGAAUUCCUGGUGUAGCGGUGAAAUGCGCAGAUAUCAGGAGGAACACCGGUGGCGAAGGCGGCUCUCUGGGGCUGUCCUGACGCUGAGGCGCGAAAGCUGGGGGAGCAAACAGGAUUAGAUACCCCCGUAGUCC